CGUAGGCGUGGCCGGUGGCGACGAGGUCCUCGAUCAGGCCGACGAUCGGACCGAUCGUCUCGGUCGCCUUCGGC
rnacentral:tRNA from 1 species